AGUGAACGCUGGCGGCGUGCCUAACACAUGCAAGUCGAACGAUGAUGGAGGAGCUUGCUCUUCCUGAUUAGUGGCGCACGGGUGAGUAAUGCAUAGAUAAUGUGCCCCUUAGUUCGGGAUAGCCACUGGAAACGGUGAUUAAUACCGGAUACUCCUUCAUAUCAUAAGAUAAGUCGGGAAAGUUUUUCGCUAAGGGAUCAGUCUAUGUUCCAUCAGUUAGUUGGUGAGGUAACGGCUCACCAAGACAAUGACGGAUAUCUGGUUUGAGAGGAUGAUCAGACACACUGGAACUGAGACACGGUCCAGACUCCUACGGGAGGCAGCAGUGAGGAAUAUUGCACAAUGGAGGAAACUCUGAUGCAGCAACGCCGCGUGGAGGAUGACGCAUUUCGGUGUGUAAACUCCUUUUAUUAGGGAAGAUUAUGACGGUACCUAAUGAAUAAGCACCGGCUAACUCCGUGCCAGCCGCCGCCGUAA
rnacentral:rRNA from 1 species